AAGAAAUGCUGAAUGGCAUGCUUAAGAAACUGGUUGUAGUCUAAGUCAUGUUCUCUACUGCUUCAGGGUGGAGAGCCUUCUUAUGACAUUCUUGAGGGUCAAACGCUGUGGUGCCCAGCACAUCAGAAGGACACUACCCACAAACAAUGUGCUUGAGGACAGACCUUGUAGGGAUGCUAUGAACUGGUUGGAGGACAUGAUUCCUUUUACAAUGAAAGUGUGAAAAGACUGUCUUACCGAGAUGGCAUGUGGACAUUGAUGGAAAUCGCCUUGUUUGUAGGCAAAAAACAACUCAAAACAAAACCAAAUAAACAAACAGAAAUAACAACAGCAAAGAAAGUACAGUCUGAGCAAGAGAAGAGAAAGUCCGCAGGACAGGACAGCAAUGUAAACAGAACAAUACUGUUUUUAAAAAAGGAGGAAUAUGAACUUCAGCAAGCUGAAAGGAACUCUCAUGAUCACCUUCUAGAAUGAUCGAAAUGACCUGCCAGUUCAAAGUCACCCCGACAUGUCCCGUGGGACGAGAACUAAAUACUGACAGCAAGAAAACCAGCUUUGACUCGGAGGCGAGUGUCCCCCCAGCCCGAGUGCUGGGCAGGCCGCUGUUCCUUUCAGCUCACUUUCACAGAUGGUAGUCUCAGCUGUGACAGGACCUCUGCCAUCCAAGUGAUGGGUAAGCAGGCAAACAGAAAGAGCAGCAUGUCCUGCGUGAUACAGACAACCAAGGCUUCUCCAGAGGAUGUGCAGUCAGUGAAGACACAGACAGAGAAGAAGUGAAAGGGAAAGUCGUGGAGGGCGGCCGCCUCCUCCUCGCCACCUACCAUCGGCUUUAGCUCUCGGGCGUCCGCAGCGCCUCCUUUGCCGGCUUCUUUCAUUGCUUUCCUACUGUUUUCCACAAACUCCUGCAAAACAUGGAGUGCACGGCAUUAACUGGGGAUCUUCUUAGGUUUCAGUCAGUAGGUGAACUUUAAGGAUCCAACCUUAGUGUGGUCAACAGUACUCUGAAGGAAGAUUGGCUGGGAUGGAUUGCAAUCCGUAGAUAUAAAACCUUCCUUCCAUC
ensembl:antisense 1700060J05Rik RIKEN cDNA 1700060J05 gene